GAUGUACAUCAGAACCUUAAUGAUGCGUUCACAUUGAUACAUAACUUGUCUGUCUCUAGACAUUACUUGUCUGCUUUUGGACAGUCCUAGUGUGUCUCAAAACAUUAUUGUUUCUAUUGCAAGACAUGACUUUUAAAUUCUAAGUGGUCAGUGCAUGAAAAACAUUUGCAAUGUUUAGAUAACGUAGAAAAAUGUUGUCCUCUCCAUUGCAAGUGCCAAGAAAUAAAACUCACAGGGGUCCUAAGUAGAAUUACUGAAAGAAAGUCAAGAGCGAUCGAUUCUGUAGAAAAAUGUAGUUUGUGUUGAAAAAAAAUGACACUGACGAAGGCGAUUUCAUAUGCUGUUUUGUUCAAUAUGUUCAGUGUGCAUAUAUUGCGCUCGAAUCAAAAUAGCUGACAAGCCAACUCAAAUAUGAAUUUCAAGUGCCUUACACAAAAGUUCCACAAUGUUAGGCCGGAUACGGCUUACGCAAUCUAUGCCUGAGGUAGAAAAUCAUUAGCGUGGUUUGAAUAUUUCAAAAUUUUAUAAACAGUAAGUUUACACAAAAUGUCCAUAUCAGUGAUAUUUUAUUUGAUACUCAAACGAGAACUAAUACCAAUAUUGACAUAUCGUGAAUAUUUUGAAAGUGAACUUGUUUGACUCUCAGUUCCAAGUGAACUGUGAAAUGUUUAAUGACUGUUUGUUGAUUUAAACCUUUAAUCAUCUUGUCUAUGUCUACACUUUAAUUCAUUGCUCAUUGAUUGACGAUUAUAUAAUGGAUAUAAAUAUCAAGAUUUUUACCACGGCAUUGUCAGUUUGUUUUCGUCUAAUCCGUUUGACUAUUGCUUUGGUAGUGCCGCAAUCAUGUAUUACAGAGAAAAAGAAAAAGAAAGUAAUAAAGGUUAGGUUGCAAUCAGAUACCAAGGGAGAAAACGUAAAAAAAAGACAAACAACAGUAUACGAAGCACAACACAGACUCUAAAGACCGAGCAACACGAUCCCCAUCAAAAGCCGGAGGUGAUCUCAGGUGCUAUGUAAGGGUUCAUUGGUAGAAGCGAAAAGGCAUACCAAGGAGGACUUGCACAUUUGAAGGUUUCAAAUAAAGACAUAAAGCAUUAUACAAGUGGUGGUUCCAGAUGUCUUUACAAACACUUUGAAACUUAUCUAUGUGCUCUUGGAAACGACGGAUGUUUCUACAGAAAGCCUUUGACCAGCGGAAUACGCUAUGGAAAACAACCAUUAGGCGUGAACAAACUAGAGUCUUUAAUGAAGGAAAUGUGUGGAAAAGCCGGGCUAACAGGAAACUUCACAAAUCAUUCGGGAAAAAGAGGUUGUUUUACGUCCUUGUAUAAGGCUGGUCUAGUCGACCAGUCCAUAAUGGACCGUACAGGUCACCGUUCAACUGCCGUGAGAGCGUACAAAACAAAGACCAACGAACUAGAAGAAAAGGCAUCGAUGGCCCUAAACCCCCCGUCUGAGGAGAACACCGUCGGAACAAGAGAUGAAAAACAACCAUCCACCAAGAAAAUAAAAUUCAAUAAUUCUGUAGAGGUUCAUGACGACACAGGGCAGGAAUUAUUCGAUAUCACGAAUGGCCCCGCUUCUCGUGGAAAUGUCAGUUAUAACAAUUGCCAUUUUACUUACAACGUUACUAAAUAAAGACAGCCGCGAUGUGCAUUUCAGAAUAUAUUUUUUGAUUAUAUAGUCUGACAGAGAAAAGCAGACAUUUUUCAAUAGAUUCAUAUAUUGCAAGAUGGAUAAAAUUUCAACCAUUAUUUUUUUGAAAGUGCUAUGAAUGAUCCUGUAUUAGUGCGAUUUUUGAGACAUUACAUAAUUUGGAAAUUG